rnacentral:rRNA from 1 species
AGUGAACGCUGGCGGUAGGCCUAACACAUGCAAGUCGAACGGCAGCACAGUAAGAGCUUGCUCUUACGGGUGGCGAGUGGCGGACGAGUGAGGAAUACAUCGGCAUCUACUUUUUCGUGGGGGAUAACGAAGGGAAACAUACGCUAAUACCGCAUACGACCUACGGGUGAAAGCAGGGGAUCUUCGGACCUUGCGCGAUUGCAUGAGCCGAUGUCGGAUUAGCUAGUUGGCGGGGUAAAGGCCCACCAAGGCGUCGAUGCGUAGCUGGUCUGGGAGGACGUUCAGCCACACUGGAACUGAGACACGGUCCAGACUCCUACGGGAGGCAGCAGUGGGGAAUAUUGGACAAUGGGCGCAAGCCUGAUCCAGCCAUACCGCGUGGGUGAAGAAGGCCUUCGGGUUGUAAAGCCCUUUUGUUGGUAAAGAAAAGCAGCAGGUUAAUACCCCGCUGUUCUGACGGUACCCAAAGAAGAAGCACCGGCUAACUUCGUG